rnacentral:rRNA from 1 species
AACGAACGCUGGCGGCAUGCCUAACACAUGCAAGUCGAACGAUGCCUUCGGGCAUGGUGGCGCACGGGUGCGUAACGCGUGGGAAUCUGCCUUUCGGUUCGGAAUAACUCAGGGAAACUUGAGCUAAUACCGGAUAACGUCGCAAGACCAAAGAUUUAUCACCGAAAGAUGAGCCCGAGUAGGAUUGGCUAGUUGGGGAGUUAAAGGCUCACCAAGGCGACGAUCCUUAGCUGGUCUGAGAGGAUGAUCAGCCACACUGGGACUGAGACACGGCCCAGACUCCUACGGGAGGCAGCGGGGGGGAAUAUUAGACAGUGGGCGCGAGCCUGAGACAGCAAUGCCGCGUGAGUUAUGAAGGUCUUAGGGUUGUAAAGCUCUUUUACCCGGGAAGUUAAUGACGGUACCGGGAGAAUAAGCCCCGGCUAACUCCGUG